rnacentral:rRNA from 1 species
AAAUUGAAGAGUUUGAUCAUGGCUCAGAUUGAACGCUGGCGGCAGGCCUAACACAUGCAAGUCGAGCGGUAGCACAGAGAGCUUGCUCUCGGGUGACGAGCGGCGGACGGGUGAGUAAUGUCUGGGAAACUGCCUGAUGGAGGGGGAUAACUACUGGAAACGGUAGCUAAUACCGCAUAAUGUCGCAAGACCAAAGUGGGGGACCUUCGGGCCUCAUGCCAUCAGAUGUGCCCAGAUGGGAUUAGCUAGUAGGUGGGGUAACGGCUCACCUAGGCGACGAUCCCUAGCUGGUCUGAGAGGAUGACCAGCCACACUGGAACUGAGACACGGUCCAGACUCCUACGGGAGGCAGCAGUGGGGAAUAUUGCACAAUGGGCGCAAGCCUGAUGCAGCCAUGCCGCGUGUGUGAAGAAGGCCUUCGGGUUGUAAAGCACUUUCAGCGGGGAGGAAGGCGUUAAGGUUAAUAACCUUGGCGAUUGACGUUACCCGCAGAAGAAGCACCGGCUAACUCCGUGCCAGCAGCCGCGGUAAUACGGAGGGUGCAAGCGUUAAUCGGAAUUACUGGG